UACAGAGGGGGCGAGCGUUGUCCGGAAUCACUGGGCGUAAAGGGCGCGUAGGUGGCGACCCAAGUCCGUGGUGAAAGCUCGUCGCUUAACGACGAGUCGGCCACGGAGACUGGGUGGCUCGAGCACUGUAGGGGCAGAUGGAAUUCCGGGUGUAGCGGUGGAAUGCGUAGAGAUCCGGAAGAACACCAGUGGCGAAGGCGGUCUGCUGGGCAGUUGCUGACACUGAGGCGCGACAGCGUGGGGAGCAAACAGG
rnacentral:rRNA from 1 species